rnacentral:rRNA from 1 species
GCUCGAGUGGUGGCCACUAUUACUGGGCUUAAAGCGUUCGUAGCUGGGUUGUUAAGUCUCUUGGGAAAUCCACCGGCUCAACCGAUGGGCGACCAGGGGAAACUGGCAUUCUAGGGACCGGGAGAGGUGAGAGGUACUCCAGGGGUAGGAGUGAAAUCCUGUAAUCCUUGGGGGACCACCGAUGGCGAAGGCAUCUCACCAGAACGGCUCCGACAGUGAGGAACGAAAGCUGGGGGAGCAAACCG